rnacentral:rRNA from 1 species
AUUGAACGCUGGCGGCAUGCCUUACACAUGCAAGUCGAACGGCAGCAUAGGAGCUUGCUCCUGAUGGCGAGUGGCGAACGGGUGAGUAAUAUAUCGGAACGUGCCCUAGAGUGGGGGAUAACUAGUCGAAAGACUAGCUAAUACCGCAUACGAUCUACGGAUGAAAGUGGGGGAUCGCAAGACCUCAUGCUCCUGGAGCGGCCGAUAUCUGAUUAGCUAGUUGGUGGGGUAAAAGCCUAACAAGGCAACGAUCAGUAGCUGGUCUGAGAGGACGACCAGCCACACUGGGACUGAGACACGGCCCAGACUCCUACGGGAGGCAGCAGUGGGGAAUUUUGGACAAUGGGGGCAACCCUGAUCCAGCAAUGCCGCGUGAGUGAAGAAGGCCUUCGGGUUGUAAAGCUCUUUUGUCAGGGAAGAAACGGUUUUGGAUAAUACCCAGAGCUAAUGACGGUACCUGAAGAAUAAGCACCGGCUAACUACGUGCCAGCAGCCGCGGUAAUAC